rnacentral:lncRNA from 1 species
CUUGCUUUGGCCCAUAGAAUAUGUUGGAAACGAUGGUGUGCCAGUUUCAAGCCUAGGUCUUAGGGAAGCCUGCAUGUCUCUGGUCUCUUGGGAUUCUACCAAGACCUAAGAAAAACCUUAGGCUAGCUUGCUGUAGUAUGAGACAUGUGGACAAAUCCUAAUGGUUCCAACUAUCCCAGACAGUCUGUGUUUAGCUAACUCUUCGCCUGAUCACAGAUGCUUGAGCAAUCUCAGUUGGGAGCAGCUAAGCCUCACUAGCUCAGCAGACCUAUUCAGUGAACCCAUAGGUCAAAGAUGCGAAUCUUGACAUCAAGGACACCUUGGCAGAAGCGAGACUUUGGGUACGGCUUGUUCUUACAAUACCGGUAACAACCCGCGGGGCGGCGGCCCAUGGCGACACCAGGAUCUUCAGUAGUGCUCUCAAGGGAAAGAGAGCAUGAAUUCUUAUUAAUAUAAUAAUUUAUGUACUUUACCUCAAUUUAUUUUUAUUUUUUAUGUUUAAUUGACAAAUAGAAGUGUUAUAUGCAUAUUUUUUUUUCUUUUUU